UACGGAGGGGGCAAGCGUUAUUCGGAAUUAUUGGGCGUAAAGGGCAGGUAGGCGGCUUCGUGUGUCUCUUGUGAAAGCCCUCGGCUCAACUGAGGAAUUGCAAGGGAAACUACGGAGCUUGAGUCCGGGAGAGGAGAGUGGAAUUCCCAGUGUAGCGGUGAAAUGCGUAGAUAUUGGGAGGAACACCGGUGGCGAAGGCGGCUCUCUGGACCGGUACUGACGCUGAUCUGCGAAAGCCAGGGGAGCAAACGGG
rnacentral:rRNA from 1 species